rnacentral:miRNA from 1 species
UUGGUGGAUGAUUGAUUCCUAA